UACGUAGGUGGGAAAUUAAGUCAGUAGUGAAAUCCCACAGCUUAACUGUGGAACUGUUAUUGAUACUGGUUUUCUUGAAUAUAGUUGAGGUAGGCGGAAUGUGUAAUGUAGCGGUGAAAUGCUUAGAUAUUACACAGAACACCGAUUGCGAAGGCAGCUUACUAAGCUAUGAUUGACGCUGAGGUACGAAAGCGUGGGGAGCGAACAGGAUUAGAUACCCUGGUAGUCC
rnacentral:rRNA from 1 species